ACCAAGUUUACCAUUUUGGUGGCAUGGAUUAAAUGGGUGCUAUGCAAAGACUGUUGCACGUGUAAUUAAAUCCUUGCAAGGGUAAACAAAAAUGGGUGAUGGGCUUAACCUUCUGCAACACUUGCAUGAUGGUCUUUGAAGAGUGCUUUGAGUGUUCCCUUUUAUUUUCCUUUGUUGUACUAACCGCAUCAACUCAAAGUGUCUGACUUCUACUAGCUUUCUUUUGGUGUCGAUAAUUAAGUGGGAUAAUGCAAGUUAGAGAAAUGGAUACCAGAACUAAUAACUAAACAGAUGUUUGGCUUUGUUUACUUACAAUCAACCCAUGUAAAUGUGUAUUUACUGGAAAAUGGGCUGUUUACAUCUGCUGUGCAAGGAAAAUGGGCCCUAAAAAGACUGGGUGCUGCUGCAAUUGACUGUAUAUCAAGUGCCGGAUGCUGCAUGACAGAACAAAGCUUAUUUGCAUAUAUAGUGCAUUGCAACAUAUUUUUGUCCAAAGCGUAAGGAGUACAUUGUGGCAGUCCUACUAAUAAAGGAAGGCAAAAGUGCUGCAGAACAGGAAGGAGUGGGACUGCUUAAAUGCCAUUACCAUGGAAGCUGAAUGAUACUGGACGUGACAUGGCUGUUACAACAGUAUAUGCUGGUCAUCUCUUCAGAGACACAGCCCAGCAGUUUAAGUAAUGGCUCCUUAAGCAAAGGGGAAUAAGUAAGGUAAACCUCUAGCCGCAGUGCGGGACUGGAAGAGAAUGGAAGAAAACAUAAAUGAAUCCUUUUGUGCAUUGUUUGGCAACGUGCCAACCAUACAGACACCGUGGUAUUGUCUGGGAGAGGAGAACUCAGUGACUUGUUUUAUAACUUCGGCUCUGGCUUCGUAAUGCAGAGCAUUCUGCAGUAGUAUUUCCCUAAAGCUUUUGUGUUCUUGUGGUGGGAAAGCAAAGCCUCCAGUGGAUGUUCAGAACCACCCUCACCAUGAAAGCUCGGACCACGUUAAUUCUUCCUAGCUCACUUUGUAGCAACUGACAGGCAGGUAGAAAGCACUGCCUCCUGGGGUGAUUAUCACCGCUGAUCCAGCAGGUCAGAAAUAGCAAGAAGCAGGACCACCCACUGUUAUCCGGUUACAGUACGUAAAGUUUCCACUGGUAUUUUUACUCCUGCUUUUGAGAGGGAGGUAGGCAGGUCACUGCUGAUUGUAUGUCACGUCCUUCUGCUCUGUUCUGUUGAGGUAAUGGUAGUGUUUUAGACCUUAAUUGUACACACAUGCUAGAACAUUUUGCUGAGAAACAUCUGUGACAGCUUUUGCUGUUUUAGAGUAUUGUGUUGACUGAUUUGCACCAAUCUUGAAGGCUUUUUUUGUGCUCUGUACAUAUGAAACUGCAGACAAGAUCUUGACUUGGAGUUGGCAUCGCUAUAUAUAUAUAUUUUUUUUGUUUUUUAAACAAUAUCAUAGUUAAUAGUUGUAUUUGAACACAGUAAAGACCUCUUGGGUGUUUCUAGGCUCUCUGAGGAAACAAAACACAUUGCUCUGCCUUGUAAGUAAAGUAGACUUUUCCCAAUAACCCUGUAAUUGCAGUUUCUGAGUACUUAGCUAAGCAAAGAUUGGGAAACAGUUACCCUACUAUUUUAAGGCCCUUGAAACUUCAAGUGAACAGUAGCAGUUUCCUAAAGCAGGCUCUCAUUAGAAAUAUUUCCUAAUAAAGAUUCAGAAGUAGAGUGUAAAAGUAAUUGCUUCUGAAGAAUUACUGAAGAAGUGCUUGUUAAAUGUUAAUCUCUACUGUAAGAGCUUUGUGUUUUCAAACAGAAACCCUCAUCCUUCCCCUCUCUUUUUCCACAUGAGUUUUUUUCUGUAGGAUCAUUCCCAAACUGCUGUGCACUUCAUGGUCCUGUAUUUUGUCUGUUCUCACUUGGGGUUUGUUUAGAUGCUGGGAAAGAACAAAUAAGCAACAAAACACCAAGCCUUUAUCAUAAGGUAGCCACUGUAUUUUUGUCUGCAGUUUAGCAUGGCUUAUAUUCAUGGGGGUUUGUGCUGGUUUUGACAGAAAAUUGAAACAAACCUAGAGCAAAUUGUACCUGACAAAGGAGACAUGCCAGGUGUUCUUGAAGUCUGUUUUUCACUGUUGAAUUGUCAGCAGGGCAAAGCACUGAGCUUGAGUCAGCUUGGUUUAGGCAUAAAUUAUUUGUCUCUUUAAUGCCUGAAAGAAGUAGACUGUUUUCUUGUCCACUGCAGGCAAAAAUUGCAGCAAGAAAAUAAAUUCCAAGUAGAUGUUUGGAAAAAAUUUAGUAGCAAUAAUAAUGAAGCAUUUGGGCGGAUUGCCUGGGGGAUGUUAAAAAGUUUCCAUCACUGGAUGCCUUUAACAGAUUAAAUAUAUACCAGUAAUGUUACAGGUACACAUUUUGGAGGGCUGGAUUAAAUGAAAUCCCUUCUAAUUUUUGUAUGACUAUGAUAUUUAAUUGGGCUGAGUCAUUACAAAGCUGAUGGAGAAAAAUGUUGCUUGGACUGGCUAAAUAGUCCUGUGACCCAAAUUCUACCAUUUUUUAACUUUAAUGACUUGGACUGAAAAUCCCAGUGUUAAUCGGUUUCUAAAAAUGAGCUGCAAACAAAUGUCAGCUUGGAAAAAAAAAAAGAUUCUACUAACUAGGAUCUACAUGUUAAAGUCAGAUAAACAGUUGACAUACACAUCUUUAAAAUAAGUGGUGAUUUUUCAGGGGCAGUGUUCCAUGAUGGUUUGACAUUGUAUUGUUCUGUGAGAACACCAUUACCUCUUCCCUAGCUGCUAGAUGAAUUUAUUUAUAAACUCACAGCUAGCUAGCUAUCUUAAGCACAUGCUUCACUGGCUCAGAUGUCUGAGGUCUGCAGAGUCCCAUAGAAGGAAGGCAAGGUAGGGUGGACACUGGUUGUAAAAGUUGACAUCUGUCCUUUCCUGUCCCAAGUCUGUUUUCUGGUAUUCAGACCUGCAGGCUCACUUAUCUGGAGGCAGUGUGGUAGGGAAUGCAGCAAGAAAUUGAUCAGUUCAUAGCUGAAGUAUGUGAGGUACUGUAGUUCUCUGACCAGAUACAAUUUGUCAGUUUUUUUCCUUUCUGUUGGUUGUGAGGCUACCACAGUGCUGGACCCUCUGUGUGUGAUAUUCUAGGAUGUCCUAAGUACAGAGGACUCGCUGGAACUGCAGCAGUUUCCAUCUCACAAAUCUGCUGCUACUGCUUCAUCUCUCAGUUACUGGUAUCUUCCCUUUCAUCUUUUAGAUUCACUUCUACAAUGUCAGUUUAUUGCUAGGCUAGUUGCAGGUGGUGUUUACAUGUUCCAUAGGCUAAAAUGCUGCCAGGAGUGAAAUUACCACGUUCUUCCUGUUGUUAUCUGACACUCUAUCUUGCCUUAUCAGUAGGUAAUACAUUUCUGUCAAGAUGAGACCCUAAUCCCAUGAGAUUGAUUUGAGUCAGUCACCUAAUUUUGUGUACUAGUAUUUUCGCACCAGAGAUAUUUAAUUCCUAUUUUCAAUGGUUUGUAGCUCAAAGAAUGAGGUGGGGUAUACCUGAAGGGUGAGUUGGGGGGAAUAGAAUAUUCAAUUGUAAAUUUGGAUAGUUUAGAAAUUACAGAAAGGUAACAAGUAAAUAAAAAUAACACUUCCGUGUCCUUACUUGUUGAUAUCAGGUAAUAAAAACCUAAAAGAUAACAGGUAAAAACUGAAAAUACAAAAAUGUAAAAAUUAGGUGGUUUAGAUUAUUGCAAUGUACCUAUUUUUUAGUUGUCUUCAUGAAUGAAUGUCAUGCCAGCAGUGUAAGUAAAGCAGAAGUUCUCCGUAAUUAUCUCUGGAAAUGUUUUGUCUGUGGAGGCUUCUAGAAUUCUUCUUUUUAGUUGAGGCUCCUACUCCUUGGGGCUAGUACUGUAUACUGUCAGUUUGAUGUUUCCUUUUCCAGUUAAAAAUAUACCUCCACUCUCCUACAUUCUCAUUUUUAAACAUACGCUGACACUUGACUUCAGUAAGAAUUUGAAGAGUUAAAAUUCCAUUUGUAAUUCACUGCUAUCCACCAAUUCUUCUUAGUUCUACCAAAAAUCACAGCAGACUUCACUUUGCAACUGCCACUGAGCUGUUGUUUGAGAACUACUGGUUUUGUUCCUGAUAAUUUAAGUAACUGGUAUGAACUAAUGGUCAGGUUACUAAUUCUUAAAAAGCAAUGUAAAUCCUGUAAAGCUUCUAGGAUAUUUUUGUAGGGACUCCUACUAAGUGGAGGUAAGAAUUUAAAAAAUAUUCAACCUUGAACAUUUUGUGAAUGAGAUGGCAAUACUGCUGUGAAAUAAUAUAGGAUGGAGGAAAUGUUAGGUUUAAAGGCAUGAGAACUUUCUCGGUUCUGUUCCAAGACUUCAAUGAUUCGGGGGAUAGGGUGCUAAAAUACUUUGAAGAUUUUAAUGGGUAUAAAAUGAAAGAUGCUAGCUUGCAUGCAGGGAAGUUUUUCUCCCAGACAGUGCUUAAUUGGCAUAUCUGGGGCGUAUGCUCCUAAACCACUACUGCUGUGUUUAAAAACUUUAUCUGUCUUCAAGACAUAGUUUUUUUGGGAGGGUU